rnacentral:tRNA from 1 species
UCGGGUAUGGUGUAGCGGUAACAUCGUUGACUCUCACUUCUCAGGAGUGAGGAGGCCUCAACAGCCCCGGGUUCGACUCCCGGUAUCCGAG